rnacentral:rRNA from 1 species
ACGGGUGAGUAACGCGUGGGAAUCUACCCAUCUCUACGGAAUAACGCAUGGAAACGUGUGCUAAUACCGUAUACGUCCUUCGGGAGAAAGAUUUAUCGGAGAUGGAUGAGCCCGCGUUGGAUUAGCUAGUUGGUGGGGUAAAGGCCUACCAAGGCGACGAUCCAUAGCUGGUCUGAGAGGAUGAUCAGCCACACUGGGACUGAGACACGGCCCAGACUCCUACGGGAGGCAGCAGUGGGGAAUAUUGGACAAUGGGCGCAAGCCUGAUCCAGCCAUGCCGCGUGAGUGAUGAAGGCCCUAGGGUUGUGAAGCUCUUUCACCGGUGAAGAUAAUGACGGUAACCGGAGAAGAAGCCCCGGCUAACUUCGUGCCAGCAGCCGCGGUAAUACGAAGGGGGCUAGCGUUGUUCGGAUUUACUGGGCGUAAAGCGCACGUAGGCGGACUAUUAAGUCAGGGGUGAAAUCCCGGGGCUCAACCCCGGAACUGCCUUUGAUACUGGUAGUCUUGAGUUCGAGAGAGGUGAGUGGAAUUCCGAGUGUAGAGGUGAAAUUCGUAGA